AGCGAACGCUGGCGGCAGGCCUAACACAUGCAAGUCGAGCGGGCAUAGCAAUAUGUCAGCGGCAGACGGGUGAGUAACGCGUGGGAACGUACCUUUUGGUUCGGAACAACACAGGGAAACUUGUGCUAAUACCGGAUAAGCCCUUACGGGGAAAGAUUUAUCGCCGAAAGAUCGGCCCGCGUCUGAUUAGCUAGUUGGUGAGGUAAUGGCUCACCAAGGCGACGAUCAGUAGCUGGUCUGAGAGGAUGAUCAGCCACAUUGGGACUGAGACACGGCCCAAACUCCUACGGGAGGCAGCAGUGGGAAUAUUGGACAAUGGGCGCAAGCCUGAUCCAGCCAUGCCGCGUGAGUGAUGAAGGCCCUAGGGUUGUAAAGCUCUUUUGUGCGGGAAGAUAAUGACGGUACCGCAAGAAUAAGCCCCGGCUAACUUCGUGCCAGCAGCCGCCGUAA
rnacentral:rRNA from 1 species